ensembl:lncRNA
AUGAGAAGGUUGGCAUGUGGAGCCACUGUUCCUAUGAGGAAACAGAAUCCCUGGGAUGAACAAGAUAGACACACAGAAUGGAAGAAUAGACACACAGAAUUGCACAUGGAAGCAAUUUUAAAUGAUAACACACUAUAAAACUGAAGAUUGUUGAGGCUGUUCUAUACAUGAGAUGUGUGAAAAUACAAGGAAAACAGAGAACAAAGAGGAGGUCACAGAUAGAAUCUUGAAGAAUGAGAAGCCCCAGCAUCCGAUGUGACAAUUCUGUAGCUGCCAUGGGCCAGGACAGGAAGAAAUGCACAAACGAUGACAGACAUCACGUUUAGCAUCUAGGAAAACAAGGGUGUGAAUUUAACAGAUCAAAUUUUCUACUAGCUAGUACUAGGAGAUUGUUUCUUGUUAGAAAUAAAAAUUGAUAGAACUGAUUUAGCAAAUGCCUAAUAUAUAAUGCUUAGUCUGCCUUUCAGACCAAUUUAAGAUUGUCUAAAUUUUAGUCAUGUCUGUCUACUCCUCCACGUUAGAGCUCAAAUUCACUUUCUUCUGCAGUGUUUUGACAGUUGAAAGACUCUGGUUGGAUUAUUAAUUUCAGCCGUAUUUGAUCUCUGAGGAUUCAGCAGUAACUACUCUCCCAUCCUCAAGUUACACGACAGUUAUACUUUUAUUUCUUCAGAACUUUUGCAAAUUUAAUAAGUGUUAAAUGCCAGUGUUACUUUAAAUUCUCUUCUGAGCCUUAGAGUAGGUGCAUAUGCAUGAUAGAUACGAUCAAUGUUAACAAUAUUCCAUAUGCCAUUUCUCCUCCCAGCAACUUGAAGACAUUAUGUAGGAACUUGGCAGAGGAGAAUCCAAACUGAUACAUACUUGGAUUGGUAACAGCUGUCAGAGUUUAACAAUAGAACCUCUGCAAGCAGUGACCCUGUGGGCUUCCCUAAUCUAGUUCCUAAUGGCUCAUCCUGCUUCCUUUCAUGUACCCCUUCCUGGAGAGGCAGUGACAAAUCCAUCUCAAGGGAAAGGUGCAUAACCUACAGCUGUUGAUCUAGUCUUUAGUUAUAGUAUAAAUGUUGAGUUGAGGUAACUUUCUCUGUGACAUUAACUUCAGAGCAACCCUCAUCUCUCAUCUAUUGAUAUUCUUAAAAACCGUAAUUCUAUUUUUACUUCAGCUUUAACAGUCUCUGCAUAAUAAAUACCUAUAUGGUAUUUCAUCUUAAGACUUCAAAAAUGUUCAAAGACUAUCUGGUUCUUCUAUUUUGAGAUUCCGUGAAAGUCUGUUCUCCCCAUGUGUGGGCUUUAGGAUCUUAGCUAUUUCCUUAAACUAAUAUUAGAGUGGCUGUGAUGUAUGAGGAACUGUGUGGCCCUGGGGACUCAGAGGUGAAAGCUGGGAUUGCCUUUGUUUGAUCUUAUUUCAUAAUGAAUCUUAUUAAAUAGUGAUUUAAGUUGGCAUGGGUGACUUUGGGGAUCCUGGGAGGGGAACAGCAACCUCCAAUUCAGCUUUCAGGGAGUAGUAAAAGACUCACCACUGGUGAGAGCUGAGUAGAAGAAGGAGGGAGAGGAAGUGGGAAGAGUUCCCCCUCCCGCAAUGUACCUUGCCUUCCCCUCCAAGUGUCUCCAUUGACAGGCGGCUAAGUGGAUGCGGGCAGUAAUGCACAGAGGCUAGAUAGUCAGCCAGGGCCACAGGAUCAAGGACUUGGUAUGCCUUUUGAUCAGACAAGAGAGUCCUGCUGAAGUCCUUUCAAAGAGUCUAAUGUCCUUGUGAAGUAACAAGCAAAUACUGACCACCUACUAUGUGCUAGUAUGUAGUAGGCACAUUGCUAGUUGGGGUUACAGGAGUGAGUAAAGCAUGAUGCCUAGUGUCUUCCACAUGCGUGAGUGUAUGUGUGAGAGAGAAAAGUAAACACCCAAUAAUUAUAAUAGCAAUAGCAUAAAUCAGAGGCAUGCACUGCUAAGGUCUCCCCACGGAGUUCAG